rnacentral:rRNA from 1 species
GAUGAACGCUGGCGGCGUGCUUAAUACAUGCAAGUCGAGCGAUCAAACGAAGCUUUCUGUGCGCUUUCGUUACGAACGGAUGAGUAACAAGUACGUAACCAACCCUCAAAUCAGGCAUAAGUAAGGUAAGCAAGCCCUAAUAAAGGCUGGGAGAGUUCAUCGCCUGGUGGGUGUUGUAAUGAUAUAUCGGUUUUGGAUGGACUCUCGGCUGAUCAGCGUGUUGGUGAGGAAAUGGCUAACCAAGGCGACGACGGGUAGCCGGCCUGGGAGGGUGACCGGCCACACUGGGACUGAGACACGGCCCAGACUCCUACGGGAGGCAGCAGUGGGGAAUAUUGCACAAUGGGCGAAAGCCUGAUGCAGCGACGCCGCGUGAGGGAUGACGGCCUUCGGGUUGUAAACCUCUUUCAGUAGGGAAGAAGCGAAAGUGACGGUACCUGCAGAAGAAGCACCGGCUAACUACGUG